GUGCUUGCUUCGGCAGCACGUAUACUAAAAUUGGAACGGAACGAUACAGAGAAGAUUAGCAUGGCCCCUGCGCAAGAAUGACACGCAAAUUUGUGAAGUUUCAUAUUUAA
rnacentral:snRNA from 1 species